rnacentral:pre_miRNA from 11 species
UCGUAUCGUUUUAGAAUUCCUACGCUUUACCGUCGUGUCCGAAAUUUGGCAAAGCGUUUGGAUUCUGAAACGAUAUAU